CCAAUUAAAGUUUUUAUGAACGUUAUUAUUUACAUUAAUAUGGGUUUUGGUGUAAUUCCAAUUAGUUGGA
rnacentral:tRNA from 1 species